rnacentral:rRNA from 1 species
UACGAAGGGGGCUAGCGUUGUUCGGAUUUACUGGGCGUAAAGCGCACGUAGGCGGAUCGUUAAGUCGGGGGUGAAAUCCUGGGGCUCAACUCCAGAACUGCCUUCGAUACUGGCGAUCUUGAGUCCGGAAGAGGUGAGUGGAACUCCUAGUGUAGAGGUGGAAUUCGUAGAUAUUAGGAAGAACACCAGUGGCGAAGGCGGCUCGCUGGGACGGUACUGACGCUGAGACGCGAAAGCGUGGGGAGCAAACAGG